UAAAAGCUUGGUCCUGACUUUACUAUCAGCUUUGAUCAAAUUUAUACAUGCAAGUCUCCGCAAUCCUGUGAGAAUGCCCUACCUCGCCCCCAAAAAGGGGAAAUAGGAGCAGGUAUUAGGCACAACCCUACGUUAGCCCACAACACCUUGCUCGGCCACACCCCCACGGGAACACAGCAGUAAUAAACAUUAAGCUAUAAGUGCAAGCUUGACUUAGUUAAGAUCAAGAGAGCCGGUUAAACUCGUGCCAGCCACCGCGGUUAUACGAGGGGCUCAAGUUGAUAGAUCACGGCGUAAAGAGUGGUUAAUUUAAAAUUAGACUAAAGCCGAACAUCUUCAGAGCUGUUAUAAGCACAUGAAGACAAGAAGCCCACUAACGAAAGUAGCUUUAAGACUAUUGAACCCACGAAAGCUAAGACACAAACUGGGAUUAGAUACCCCACUAUGCUUAGUCGUAAACAAAAGCAAUCCCCCACCCCACUGCUCGCCAGGGAACAACGAGCCCCAGCUUAAAACCCAAAGGACUUGGCGGUGCUUUAGACCCCCCUAGAGGAGCCUGUUCUAGAACCGAUACUCCCCGUUUAACCUCACCUUCUCUUGUUCUUCCCGCCUAUAUACCGCCGUCGUCAGCUUACCCUGUGAAGGAUUAAUAGUAAGCAAAAUUGGCAGAGCCCAAAACGUCAGGUCGAGGUGUAGCGUACGAGAAGGGAAGAAAUGGGCUACAUUUACUGAACCAGUAAAUACGGAAGAUGUAAUGAAAUCACACCUAAAGGAGGAUUUAGCAGUAAGAGAGGAGCAGAGUGCCUCUCUGAAACUGGCCCUGAAGCGCGCACACACCGCCCGUCACUCUCCCCGACUAACCACGCUCCAUACAUAAUAUGUUUGAAACACACCAAGGGGAGGCAAGUCGUAACAUGGUAAGCGUACCGGAAGGUGCGCUUGGAAAACC
rnacentral:ncRNA from 1 species